rnacentral:rRNA from 1 species
CCAACAGGGAUUGCCUUAGUAACGGCGAGUGAAGCGGCAAAAGCUCAAAUUUGAAAUCUGGCACCUUCGGUGUCCGAGUUGUAAUUUGAAGAAGGUAACUUUGGAGUUGGCUCUUGUCUAUGUUCCUUGGAACAGGACGUCACAGAGGGUGAGAAUCCCGUGCGAUGAGAUGCCCAAUUCUAUGUAAAGUGCUUUCGAAGAGUCGAGUUGUUUGGGAAUGCAGCUCUAAGUGGGUGGUAAAUUCCAUCUAAAGCUAAAUAUUGGCGAGAGACCGAUAGCGAACAAGUACAGUGAUGGAAAGAUGAAAAGAACUUUGAAAAGAGAGUGAAAAAGUACGUGAAAUUGUUGAAAGGGAAGGGCUUGAGAUCAGACUUGGUAUUUUGCGAUCCUUUCCUUCUUGGUUGGGUUCCUCGCAGCUUACUGGGCCAGCAUCGGUUUGGAUGGUAGGAUAAUGACUAAGGAAUGUGGCUCUACUUCGGUGGAGUGUUAUAGCCUUGGUUGAUACUGCCUGUCUAGACCGAGGACUGCGUCUUUUGACUAGGAUGUUGGCAUAAUGAUCUUAAGCCACC